GACGAACGCUGGCGGCGUGCUUAACACAUGCAAGUCGAACGGAAAGGCCCUGCUUUUGUGGGGUGCUCGAGUGGCGAACGGGUGAGUAACACGUGAGUAACCUGCCCUUGAUUUUGGGAUAACUUCAGGAAACUGGGGCUAAUACCGGAUAGGAGCUCCUGCUGCAUGGUGGGGGUUGGAAAGUUUCGGCGGUUGGGGAUGGACUCGCGGCUUAUCAGCUUGCUGGUGGGGUAGUGGCUUACCAAGGCAUUGACGGGUAGCCGGCCUGGGAGGGUGACCGGCCACAUUGGGACUGAGAUACGGACCAGACUCCUACGGGAGGCAGAAGUGGGGAAUAUUGCACAAUGGGCGGGAGCCUGAUGCAGCAACGCCGCGUGCGGGAUGACGGCCUUCGGGUUGUAAACCGCUUUCGCCUGUGACGAAGCGUGAGUGACGGUAAUGGGUAAAGAAGCACCGGCUAACUACGUG
rnacentral:rRNA from 1 species